rnacentral:tRNA from 1 species
AACGAGGAGGAAUACAUUAGACCUGCUAAGUCUUUAACCUGGCACUAACCACCCAGCCCCCUCU